AGUGAACGCUAGUGGCGUGCUUAACACAUGCAAGUCGAACGGACGAUAUUUGUGCUUGCACAAAUAAAGUUAGUGGCAAACGGGUGAGUAAUACAUGAGAAUUUUCCUUGCAGUACGGAAUAACUAUUGGAAACAGUAGCUAAUACCGUAUAUUGCCGAGAGGUGAAAGAUUUAUCGCUGCAAGAUAAGCCCAUGCAAGAUUAGCUUGUUGGUAAGGUAAUGGCUUACCAAGGCUACGAUCUUUAGCUGGUUUGAGAGGAUGAUCAGCCACACUGGAACUUAGACACGGUCCAGACUCCUACGGGAGGCAGCAGUGGGGAAUCUUCUGCAAUGGGCGCAAGCCUGACAGAGCGGCGUCAUGUGAAGGAAGAAGGCCUGAAAUAGGUUGUAAACUUCUUUUACUGAGUAAUGAAUACUGACAACGCAGUAAAAAAGUAUCGGCUAACUCCGUGCCAGCCGCCGCCGUAACAC
rnacentral:rRNA from 1 species